GGACAUGGGCGAAAGCUGAUGCAGCAAUGCCGCGUGUGUGAAGAAGCCUGCGGGUUGUAAAGCACUUUCAGUAGAGAGAAAAGCCUGGCGCUAAUAACGUCGGGUCUUGACGUAACCUACAGAAGAAGCACCGGCUAACUCCGUGCCAGCAGCCGCGGUAAUACAGAGGGUGCAAGCGUUAAUCGGAAUUACUGGGCGUAAAGCGAGCGUAGGUGGCUUGAUAAGUCAGAUGUGAAAUCCCCGGGCUUAACCUGGGAACUGCAUCUGAAACUGUUAGGCUAGAGUAGGUGAGAGGGAAGUAAAUUUCAGGUGUACGCGGUGAAAUGCGUAAGAUCUGAAGGAAUACCGAUGGCAAGGCAGCUUCCUGGCAUCAUACUGACACUGAGGCUCGAAAGCGUGGGUAGCAAACAGGAUUAGAUACCCUGGUAGUCCACGCCGUAAACGAUGUCUACUAGUCGUUGGGUCCCUUGAGGACUUAGUGACGCAGCUAACGCAAUAAGUAGACCGUCCUGGUGGAGUAC
rnacentral:rRNA from 1 species